CUGGCUGCUUUCCUCUGUUCCCAGUUUGGCCCCAACCUCCUGCAGCUGCUAUACCUGUCUUGUGGAGAUGGUGUUGACCCUGAGUCAUAGAAACGCUCCAUCUUUCUGGGGCCAUGGAUAAAACUAUGACUAAAGAACAGGAACCGGUUCAAAAACAAAGUAAGAUGCACAAAAGAGAAGAGAAUCUGUGUUGUUUGCCCAAAUCUGUUCCCAGUGAGGGCAGAGAGUCUCGCAGAGUUUCAGAAUGAUGCACUGUCUCUUCCAACUUUUGAAGAGAGAUUAGUGUGACUUCUUAAAAAUGUUUCUGGAAAAACAAACCAGUCAGGGGGACCAGGUGCUUCUUGCAUUUUUCCCCAAUUAUACUCCUAAGGACUACUGAUCUUACAGAAGGCUUCUCUGUUGUACUAAACUAUUUUUUUUCUGCAGUUAAGUUUCUGUAGGAGAGACCAAGAGAGAGACUGAAUCAAUGAGGAGUUGUCAUCGUUCAUGAUUAACAAGGAAAACAUUCCUGUUUAGUAGUUACCCCAACUGCCCUGGAAAGACUACUCUCAGACAGAGUGGCAGCCUUCACUUCAUAUUUGGGUUUAGUUAAUGAACUUGAGGACACUUCAGAGACUAACAAAAUGGGAUCUCACAAAUGCUUGUUAACAAUUGUCUCUUGACAUAUUCUUCAUUUCUCAUUAAAGUGCUGAAGAGGAGGAGGGAAAUGGUGGAAGCCAUGGACUCCUGCAGUGAAGGCGUUUCUAUGUAUAAAUAUCACUCACCUGCAUUUAUAUGAAGACUUUCUUCCUGAGGCGCUUGACAUACUUAAUAAAUGACACAGACACACAGAAAAUAGAGCUUAU
rnacentral:lncRNA from 1 species